GACGAACGCUGGCGGCGUGCUUAACACAUGCAAGUCGUACGGUAAGGCCCUUUCGGGGGUACACGAGUGGCGAACGGGUGAGUAACACGUGAGUAACCUGCCCACAACUUUGGGAUAACGCUAGGAAACUGGUGCUAAUACUGGAUAUGUGCUCCUGCUGCAUGGUGGGGGUUGGAAAGCUCCGGCGGUUGUGGAUGGACUCGCGGCCUAUCAGCUUGUUGGUGGGGUAGUGGCCUACCAAGGCGGCGACGGGUAGCCGGCCUGAGAGGGUGACCGGCCACAUUGGCACUGGGAUACGGCCCAGACUCCGACGGGAGGGAGCAGUGGGGAAUAUUGCACAAUGGGCGCAAGCCUGAUGCAGCACCGCCGCGUGCGGGAUGACGGCCUUCGGGUUGUAAACCGCUUUCAGCAGGGACGAAGCUUUUUGUGACGGUACCUGCAGAAGAAGCACCGGCUAACUACGUG
rnacentral:rRNA from 1 species